UACGUAGGGUGCGAGCGUUAAUCGGAAUUACUGGGCGUAAAGCGUGCGCAGGCGGUUUUGUAAGCCCAGAUGUGAAAUCCCCGGGCUUAACCUGGGAAUGGCAUUUGGGACUGCAAGGCUUGAGUGCGGCAGAGGAGACUGGAAUUCCUGGUGUAGCAGUGAAAUGCGUAGAUAUCAGGAGGAACACCGAUGGCGAAGGCAGGUCUCUGGGCUGACACUGACGCUCAUGCACGAAAGCGUGGGGAGCGAAACAACGGUUGU
rnacentral:rRNA from 1 species